rnacentral:rRNA from 1 species
UGGGGAAUAUUGGACAAUGGGCGAAAGCCUGAUCCAGCCAUGCCGCGUGUGUGAAGAAGGCCUUUUGGUUGUAAAGCACUUUAAGUGGAGAGGAAAAGCUUAUGGUUAAUACCCAUAAGCCCUGACGUUACCCACAGAAUAAGCACCGGCUAACUCUGUGCCAGCAGCCGCGGUAAUACAGAGGGUGCAAGCGUUAAUCGGAAUUACUGGGCGUAAAGCGCGCGUAGGUGGUUAUUUAAGUCAGAUGUGAAAGCCCCGGGCUUAACCUGGGAACUGCAUCUGAUACUGGAUAACUAGAGUAGGUGAGAGGGGAGUAGAAUUCCAGGUGUAGCGGUGAAAUGCGUAGAGAUCUGGAGGAAUACCGAUGGCGAAGGCAGCUCCCUGGCAUCAUACUGACACUGAGGUGCGAAAGCGUGGGUAGCAAACAGGAUUAGAUACCCUGGUAGUCCACGCCGUAAACGAUGCCUACCAGUCGUUGGGUCUUUUAAAGACUUAGUGACGCAGUUAACGCAAUAAGUAGACCGCCUGGGGAGUACGGCCGCAAGGUUA